rnacentral:rRNA from 1 species
GUGAGAGGGCGGGAAUACGUAGGGUGCGAGCGUUAAUCGGAAUUACUGGGUGUAAAGCGUGCGCAGGCGGUUCGUUAAGACAGAUGUGAAAUCCCCGGGCUUAACCUGGGAACUGCAUUUGUGACUGGCGAGCUAGAGUAUGGCAGAGGGGGGUAGAAUUCCACGUGUGGCAGUGAAAUGCGUAGAGAUGUGGAGGAAUACCGAUGGCGAAGGCAGCCCCCUGGGCCAAUACUGACGCUCAUGCACGAAAGCGUGGGGAGCAAACAGGAUUAGAUACCCUGGUAGUCCACGCCCUAAACGAUGUCAACUAGUUGUCGGGUCUUCAUUGACUUGGUAACGUAGCUAACGCGUGAAGUUGACCGCCUGGGGAGUACGGUCGCAAGAUUAAAACUCAAAGAAAUUGACGGGA